GGAAGUAAAAGUCGUAACAAGGCGUCAUAACAAGGUUUCCGUAAGGAUCAUUA
rnacentral:rRNA from 1 species